rnacentral:rRNA from 1 species
AUUGAACGCUGGCGGCAUGCUUUACACAUGCAAGUCGAACGGUAACAGGCCGCAAGGUGCUGACGAGUGGCGAACGGGUGAGUAAUGCAUCGGAACGUGCCCAGCCGUGGGGGAUAACGCAGCGAAAGCUGCGCUAAUACCGCAUACGAUCUAACGAUGCAAGCGGGGGACCGUAAGGCCUCGCGCGAUUGCAGAGGCCGAUGUCAGAUUAGGUAGUUGGUGGGGUAAAGGCUCACCAAGCCAACGAUCUGUAGCUGGUCUGAGAGGACGACCAGCCACACUGGGACUGAGACACGGCCCAGACUCCUACGGGAGGCAGCAGUGGGGAAUUUUGGACAAUGGGCGCAAGCCUGAGCCAGCAAUGCCGCGUGCAGGAAGAAGGCCUUCGGGUUGUAAACUGCUUUUGUACGGAACGAAAAGGCUCUGGUUAAUACCUGGGGCUCAUGACGGUACCGUAAGAAUAAGCACCGGCUAACUACGUGCCAGCAGCCGCGGUAAUAC